rnacentral:rRNA from 1 species
UACGGAGGGUGCAAGCGUUAUCCGGAUUUAUUGGGUUUAAAGGGUGCGUAGGCGGUUAUAUAAGUCAGCGGUGAAAUUUUUCGGCUCAACCGGAAACAUGCCGUUGAUACUGUAUAGCUUGAAUAUGGUUGCUGUGAGUGGAAUGUGUAGUGUAGCGGUGAAAUGCUUAGAUAUUACACAGAAUAUCGAUUGCGAAGGCAACUCACAAAGCCAUUAUUGACGCUGAGGCACGAAAGUGUGGGGAUCAAAC